CUUAGUGGCAACGGGUGAGUAACGCGUGAGUAACCUGCCCUAGAUGGGGGACAACAGUUGGAAACGACUGCUAAUACCGCAUAAGCCCACGGUACCGCAUGGUACUGAGGGAAAAGGAUUUAUUCGCUUUAGGAUGGACUCGCGUCCAAUUAGCUAGUUGGUGAGGUAACGGCCCACCAAGGCGACGAUUGGUAGCCGGACUGAGAGGUUGAACGGCCACAUUGGGACUGAGACACGGCCCAG
rnacentral:rRNA from 1 species